rnacentral:rRNA from 1 species
CCAGACUCCUACGGGAGGCAGCAGUGGGGAAUAUUGCACAAUGGGGGGAACCCUGAUGCAGCGACGCCGCGUGGGUGAAGGAGUACUUCGGAAUGUAAAGCCCUAUCAGCAGGAAAGAAAAUGACGGUACCUGACUAAGAAGCCCCGGCUAACUACGUGCCAGCAGCCGCGGUAAUACGUAGGGGGCAAGCGUUAUCCGGAUUUACUGGGUGUAAAGGGAGCGUAGACGGCAGUGCAAGUCCGGAGUGAAAGCCCGGGGCUCAACCCUGGGACUGCUCUGGAAACUGUAAAGCUGGAGGGCGGGAGGGGCAGGCGGAAUUCCUGGUGUAGCGGUGAAAUGCGUAGAUAUCAGGAGGAACACCGGCGGCGAAGGCGGCCUGCUGGACCGUGACUGACGUUGAGGCUCGAGAGCGUGGGGAGCAAACAGGAUUAGAUACCCGCGUAACG